rnacentral:rRNA from 1 species
UAUUGCACAAUGGGGGAAACCCUGCUGCAGCGACGCCGCGUGAGUGAAGAAGGACUUCGGUAUGUAAGGCUCUAUCAGCAGGGAAGAAAAUGACGGUACCUGACUAUGAAGCCGCGGCUAACUACGUGCCAGCAGCCGCGGUAAUACGUAGGGGGCAAGCGUUAUCCGGAUUUACUGGGUGUAAAGGGAGCGUAGACGGCAUAGCAAGUCUGAUGUGAAAGGUCGGGGCUCAACUCCGGGACUGCAUUGGAAACUGUUAAGCUGGAGUGCAGGAGAGGUAAGUGGAAUUCCUAGUGUAGCGGUGAAAUGCGUAGAUAUUAGGAGGAACACCGGUGGCGAAGGCGGCUUACUGGACUGUAACUGACGUUGAGGCUCGAAAGCGUGGGGAGCAAACAGG